GACGAACCGUGCAAACGUUAUUCGGAAUCACUGGGCUUAAAGCGUGCGUAGGCGGCUCAGCAAGUUGGGUGUGAAAUCCCUCGGCUCAACCGAGGAAUUGCGCUCAAAACUACUGAGCUCGAGGGAGUUAGAGGUGAGCGGAACUAAUGGUGGAGCGGUGAAAUGCGUUGAUAUCAUUAGGAACACCGGUGGCGAAAGCGGCUCACUGGGACUCUUCUGACGCUGAGGCACGAAAGCUAGGGUAGCGAACGGG
rnacentral:rRNA from 1 species